ensembl:snoRNA
AGCACUUGUGUUUCUUUUUAUCUUGUGGACAAAGACAGACAACUCCAAAAAAUGCUCUUUUGCAACCCAGAAGUCACUGUUUAGUAUGAGUUCUGAGACAUAUAAGGAUUAUAUA